AUGAACGCUGGCGGCGUGCCUAAUACAUGCAAGUCGAGCGAACGGACGAGAAGCUUGCUUCUCUGAUGUUAGCGGCGGACGGGUGAGUAACACGUGGAUAACCUACCUAUAAGACUGGGAUAACUUCGGGAAACCGUAGCUAAUACCGGAUAAUAUUUUGAACCGCAUGGGUCAAAAGUGAAAGACGGUCUUGCUGUCACUUAUAGAUGGAUCCGCGCUGCAUUAGCUAGUUGGUAAGGUAACGGCUUACCAAGGCAACGAUGCAUAGCCGACCUGAGAGGGUGAUCGGCCACACUGGAACUGAGACACGGUCCAGACUCCUACGGGAGGCAGCAGUAGGGAAUCUUCCGCAAUGGGCGAAAGCCUGACGGAGCAACGCCGCGUGAGUGAUGAAGGUCUUCGGAUCGUAAAACUCUGUUAUUAGGGAAGAACAUAUGUGUAAGUAACUGUGCACAUCUUGACGGUACCUAAUCAGAAAGCCACGGCUAACUACGUG
rnacentral:rRNA from 1 species